rnacentral:rRNA from 1 species
GACGAACGCUGGCGGCGCGCCUAACACAUGCAAGUCGAGCGACGAAAGGGCCUUCGGGCCCCUGAAAGCGGCGAACGGGUGAGUAACACGUGGGUAACCAACCCUCGGUUCCGGGAUAGCCCGGGGAAACUCGGAUUAAUACCGGACGGCCUCUCGGGUUCACGGAUCCGUGAGAAAAGGGAGCUUCGGCCUCCGACCGGGGACGGGCCCGCGUCCGAUUAGCUCGUUGGUGGGGUAACGGCCCACCAAGGCAACGAUCGGUAGCUGGUCUGUGAGGACGAUCAGCCACACUGGGACUGAGACACGGCCCAGACUCCUACGGGAGGCAGCAGUGGGGAAUCUUGCGCAAUGGGCGAAAGCCUGACGCAGCGACGCCGCGUGCGGGAAGAAGGCCUUAGGGUUGUAAACCGCUUUCAGGAGGGACGAAGCCACUCGGGUGAACAGCCCAGAGGGUGACGGUACCUCCAGAAGAAGCCCCGGCUAACUACGUGCCAGCAGCCGCCGUAACAC